rnacentral:rRNA from 1 species
GAUGAACGCUGGCGGCGUGCCUAAUACAUGCAAGUCGAGCGAACAGAUAAGGAGCUUGCUCCUUUGACGUUAGCGGCGGACGGGUGAGUAACACGUGGGUAACCUACCUAUAAGACUGGAAUAACUCCGGGAAACCGGUGCUAAUGCCGGAUAACAUUUAGAACCGCAUGGUUCUAAAGUGAAAGAUGGUUUUGCUAUCACUUAUAGAUGGACCCGCGCCGGAUUAGCUAGUUGGUAAGGUAACGGCUUACCAAGGCAACGAUACGUAGCCGACCUGAGAGGGUGAUCGGCCACACUGGAACUGAGACACGGUCCAGACUCCUACGGGAGGCAGCAGUAGGGAAUCUUCCGCAAUGGGCGAAAGCCUGACGGAGCAACGCCGCGUGAGUGAUGAAGGUCUUCGGAUCGUAAAACUCUGUUAUUAGGGAAGAACAAAUGUGUAAGUAACUGUGCACGUCUUGACGGUACCUAAUCAGAAAGCCACGGCUAACUACGUG